GCUCGACCUCAGAUCAGGUAGGAGUACCCGCUGAACUUAAGCAUAUCAAUAAGCGGAGGAAAAGAAACCAACAGGGAUU
rnacentral:rRNA from 1 species